CUGUGCCCAUUUGGUGCUGUAGGGAACUCGCCGUUCAGUUUCAUUUCCUCCAUGCUGAAUGCUUGAAUGAAAUGAAAGAAAAUGCAACUAGAAUCAAAGAAAUGGGGAGGGGGGGGGGGGGGGGUGGAAGCAAUGACAGCACAGCUCUCCUUUCAGUUCUCUGCCCUUCAGCAUCACCGGCCCCAUUCCUCGCAGCCCACCUCCUUCCCUCACUGCUACAAAGCUGCCCGGCUCACAAAACCUGGGCUAAAUCCAAACGUGUGGCUGAAGCCUCAUCCUAACCCCAUUUUGUCAGGCCCGGGUAUUUUUAAACACAGGCAUUGUACCGAGCAAAGCAGCAGCACAGCCGCAUCGCCGCUUCGCAGGGCUGUUUUGCUAUGUUUAUCCACAAUCCAAUGGUUCCACGCAAUCCUUUACAAAGCGUGCUCCUAUCGCAUCCAAGAGCCGUGCACCAAUUUAAGUGCUAUUAUGUCAAUAAAGGCAGCUUUCAAAUAAAGUCCGUAUCUGCAGCGCGCGCAGCCCCGCGCCGGCCCUCCCGAAGGCCUGGCAGGGAAAUCUGACUUUAUAAUAAGGCACUCUAAAAUAAAUAUUUCCAUUCCAGCACCAGAGGGUUUGCAUCCUGCCUCGGAUGAGCACAGCUGGGUCCGGAGGUUUCUCUGCAGCAAUCCCUGCGCAGCGCUGCAAGUGGAGCGCCCAUGGGGGAGCACAGGGCAGAGCCGGCCCUGAUGGGGUGCACUGAACUCUGCAGAGUUCCAACACGUGAGGAUUGUUCCUCCCAGGAUCACUUGAAGUGGCCUCUGCAAAGCUCAAGGGAAGCCUUCUGGGUUGUGGACCCAGUGGUGAUUUUGGGGCAGCUGUGCUGGGCCAUUCUGCAGCUCACCUGAAUGCAAAGCACAUUGUGCCACACUGCACGCCCUUAACGCCACGCGCAGAGCUCCUGGCUCUGCAUUUACUGCAAUCUGCUCUCUCUCCACCUAGCCGAAAUAUUUAGCAAGCAUUGGAAGUUUCCUUCCAGAGAUUUCAGCCUGAGAAACCCCUUUAACAUCCACAUCUCUCCACUUUGUUCCCACAGAGCCUUAAUUCUAAGACCUCUACAGGAGAAUAAAGGAACGCUCGGUGCCCAAAGCUGCCUUCAGUGGACGCUGGAAGGACAUCCGCUCUCAGAAGGAGGAGCCGGGGAAGGUGCAGCAGUGUGCCAGCGCGUCAAUAACGCAGGACACGAGGCAAACACUUGGCAGGCACGGAGCACAUCAAGCCGCCCGCAAUCUCACAAAUGCCUCCUGAAAGGAGGAAACACACAAGUGAAUAUUCAAAUUAAUGACCCAGCAUGUAAUGGAGACUUCGCUUUAAGUGAUUCUGUACUUUGCCGCUAAUAUGUAUGGGCGAGCCCGGCGCGGCGGAGUACACAAUGUACCGCUGUCAUUUUCUUUCCCUACAGCAGGGAAGAUGUUUGGAGAAGUCCUUGACACGGCGAACGCACUUUAAGUACCGCCUGCUGCGGAUCGCCGCGCACCCCCCGGCCCAGCACCGGGCACGGCUCCGGCUCGGACCCCCACGCGGAGGGGGCCGCGUGUGCCCGCUGACCGUCCC
ensembl:lncRNA